rnacentral:rRNA from 1 species
UACGAAGGGGGCUAGCGUUGCUCGGAAUCACUGGGCGUAAAGGGCGCGUAGGCGGCUCAUGAAGGCUGUGGUGAAAGUCCGGGGCUCAACCUCGGAUCGGCCGUGGCGACUCGUGGGCUGGAGCACUGUAGAGGCGGGUGGAAUUCCGGGUGUAGCGGUGGAAUGCGUAGAGAUCCGGAAGAACACCAGUGGCGAAGGCGGCCCGCUGGGCAGUGGCUGACGCUGAAGCGCGACAGCGUGGGGGAGCAAACAGG